UGGGGAAUCUUGCGCAAUGGCCGAGAGGCUGACGCAGCGACGCCGCGUGUGGGAGGAAGCCCUUCGGGGUGUAAACCACUGUCAGGGGGGAAGAAUCCCGGUCGUGGAAAUACCACGGUCGGCUGACGGUACCCUUAGAGGAAGCGCCGGCUAACGCCGUG
rnacentral:rRNA from 1 species